rnacentral:rRNA from 1 species
UACAGAGGGGGCAAGCGUUGUUCGGAAUUACUGGGCGUAAAGGGCGCGUAGGCGGCCUGUUAAGUCGAACGUGAAAUCCCCGGGCUCAACCCGGGAACUGCGUCCGAUACUGGCAGGCUUGAAUCCGGGAGAGGGAUGCGGAAUUCCAGGUGUAGCGGUGAAAUGCGCAGAUAUCAGGAGGAACACCGGUGGCGAAGGCGGGUCUCUGGGCCGUAACUGACGCUGAGGAGCGAAAGCGUGGGGAGCAAACAGG